GGGCGGCCCACGAGGUGAAUUACGCCAAAAUGCAAAUUUGGAGGAGCUCCCCAGAAAGGGAGCCGGGGCUU
rnacentral:tRNA from 1 species